UUUUCUGCAAUGUCCGUACAAACUGUACGGACAACACCAAACCAAACCAUUUAGUCAUAGAUCGAGGUUUUGGAAGCCAUUAUCAUCUUCAUCUCAUCAUCACGAACCCAGCUAUACCUUUCUUUAGACGAGAAACCCUCGUUUUCCCGAGAACCCGAGAACCCAAAUUCAAGGUAUUGUUCAUGCACACGUGAAUGUGGAGUUUUUGGGAGAUUUUCAAGCUUAUAGGGAGCUUAAAGACCUCUCCAUGAAGCUCGGAGAAGAAAAAUGGCAUGAUUUAGACGUCGGGAAGUCGAGAUCGAAGCAUUUGAAGUUUGGCCGGAUUAUUGAAGGUUCUCUGGCAAAUUUCUAUGGAUUUUAGGUCCCAAAACAGGUAUAGUUGUGUUAUACUCAUCCUAAGCUUCAAUUUGGUUCAAGUUUCAUGGAAUUUGGUUGAGAAUUGGACGAGAUAUGAAGGUUUUCGUGUUUUUCCAGUUUCCUGUGAACGGUGACGGCGACGGCGACCCGCGAGGCUAACCGGAGAAGAAGAUAGAAUAUUCCAUCAAAGUUGACGGAAUAUCCUGACACCGUCAGGUAGAAUUAACGAUUCCUGUUAUUUUUUAACGGAAUAUUCCUAACGGGGUUAAGGGAUUCCGUUAGGGUCUUUGCGCGUGGCCGCGCAUGUUGCCAUAUGCGUGACGGCGCGUGGGACAUCAAAACAUUUUCUAAAAAUAUGGGGAUGUUCGUGAGGUUGUAUAGAUCACAUUAGUAUAUUCAAACAUCUCAUUUGAGCAAUGUAUGAGAAGUUA
rnacentral:lncRNA from 1 species